rnacentral:rRNA from 1 species
AUUGAACGCUGGCGGCAGGCCUAACACAUGCAAGUCGAACGAGCGGCGGACGGGUGAGUAAUGUAUGGGGAACUGCCCGAUGGAGGGGGAUAACUACUGGAAACGGUGGCUAAUACCGCAUACUAUCGGAUGAACCCAUAUUGGAUUAGCUAGUAGGUGGGGUAAAGGCUCACCUAGGCGACGAUCCCUAGCUGGUCUGAGAGGAUGAUCAGCCACACUGGGACGGAGACACUGCCCAGACUCCUACGGGAGGCAGCAGUAGGGAAGCUGGCGCAAUGGACGAAAGUCUGACCGAGCCAUGCCGCGUGAGUGAAGAAGGUUUUCGGAUUGUAAAGUUCUGUCGGUAGAGAAGCGUUACCCAAACAGAAAGCACCGGCUAACUACGUGCCAGCAGCCGCGGUAAUUC